AUAUUAUGUAGCAGGGUGACCUGUAUUUCUCCCAUAUAUCUGUUUCAGACUCAGUCACCUCCCUUUUACCUGUAUUGUGACUUGUGCCACUACGCAACGGUUGCUCUACCGGAUGGCGUCAUAACUAAUCCCUGGCACUCAGCUGACAGUGGUGUUCCUGUCCGGGCCGUAUCUUUGGGAGGCGCGGUUUGGUGGUUUGCCGUGUACUUGCAUGUAGAUAAGUAGGGUGUUACCUGCUCAAUUCAUACAUUUUUACAAUUGUUUAUUAAUAGUAUUUUGUUCUAGGACCAGCAUUGGUGGAGUUGGAGACGGUCACAUUCUGGCGCUGGCGCUUCAGUGCUCCUAUUUUCAUCUCAUAGAAUAAUAACAUGACUUUUUUCAACCAUUUAAAAAUAAACUUUGUAGACUUGAACUGGAAA